UGCCUUAGUAACUGCGAGUGAAGCGGCAAAAGCUCAAAUUUGAAAUCGGUGUCCAUAAAGUACAUCGAGUUGUAAUUUGGAGGGACAACUUCGGGCCGAACCACACCGUAAGUUUUUUGGAACAGGACAUCAUAGAGGGUGAGAAUCCCGUGUCUUGGUGUAGGGUCAAACCAUGUGAAGUGUCUCCGACGAGUCGAGUUGUUUGGGAAUGCAGCUCAAAAUGGGUGGUAAAUUUCAUCUAAAGCUAAAUAUUGGCGAGAGACCGAUAGCGCACAAGUAGAGUGAUCGAAAGAUGAAAAGCACUUUGAAAAGAGAGUUAAAAAGUACGUGAAAUUGUUGAAAGGGAAGCGCUUGCGACCAGACUCGAUCUUUGGAGAUCAGCCGGGCUUCGGUUCGGUGCCCUCUUCAUUGAUUGGGCCAGCAUCGGUUCCGGCGGUGGGAUAAAAGGAGGAGGAAUGUGGCUCCCCUCGGGGAGUGUUAUAGCCACCUUCACAAUGCUACCAGUUGGGACCGAGGACCGCGCUUCGGCUAGGAUGCUGGUGUAAUGGUCUUAAGCGACCCGUCUUGAAACACGGACCAAGGAGUCUAACAUCUAUGCGAGUGUUCGGGUGGAAAACCCUUGCGCGUAAUGAAAGUGAACGGAGGUGUGAACCCUUUGCCGGGUGCAACAUCGACCGGUCCUGAUGUCUUCGGAAGGAUCUGAGUAAGAGCAUAGCUGUUGGGACCCGAAAGAUGGUGAACUAUGCCUGAAUAGGGUGAAGCCAGAGGAAACUCUGG
rnacentral:rRNA from 1 species